rnacentral:rRNA from 1 species
ACGUAGAGUGUAAAGGCAAAAGAGAGCUUGAUUGCAAGACAUACAGGUCGAGCAAGGAUGAAAAUCGGACUUAGUGAUCCGGUGGUUCUGCGUGGAAGGGCCAUCGCUCAACGGAUAAAAGCUACCCUGGGGAUAACAGGCGUAUCUCCCCCAAGAGUCCACAUCGACGGGGAGGUUUGGCACCUCGAUGUCGGCUCAUCACAUCCUGGGGCUGUAGUAGGUCCCAAGGGUUGGGCUGUUCGCCCAUUAAAGUGGUACGCGAGCUGGGU